UAGAGGAAGAGGGGAUGAGGAAUAAUGUGUGAUCAGAUAAUUAACAGGACUAGAGGAACCCCGCAAUGAUCUAGGCCCAGUACUAGGCAGGGAUGGUAAAAUGGACAAGUGUUCAAUAAAUAUUUCUGUCCUGUAUUUGUAAAGAAGCGGCAUGGCAUAUUCAUGUCUUACAAUAUUAAAGAAAUACUUUCUAUUUCAACAGUAACUGUGGAGGAUGAUAAACAGCAUCCGAUAAACUUAGAGCUCAACUACACUUGAAACGCUACAGUGGCACAGCUGCAGCGCUUCAGUGUAGACACUCACUUCUGCAACAGGAGAGGUUCUCCCAUCACUAUAGUUAAUCCACUUCCCCCAGGAGAUGGUUGCCAGGUCAACGGAAGAAUCUUUCAAUUGACUUAGCACUGGUCUACUCCGGCGGUUAGGUCUGCUUAACUGCAACACUCAGGGGUGUGGAUUUUUCACACCCCUGGGCGACGUAGCUGGGUUGACUUAACUUUGUGUAGACCUGACCUUAAACUUUUUAAAUAUGUAGGAGUGGGGCCAUGUUUACACUACAAACUUUGAUCCACAUGAAGUGAUGUUGGCAUAAAACUGCCACAGUUUGUAUAGCACUUGUACUCAUGCAUACUUGGCUUCUUGUGUCAGCGCUUCACAUACUCACCAGGAGUGCUUGUGUCAAUGCACAGUGCAGUACACCAUGGGUAGGUAUCCCAGUGUGCAACCUGACACCAUACAGCACACUGUCUUUUGGAAAGUUUUGGCAAUGCAUUGUGGGGCAGAAAGGGGUUGUGCAGGGGUGACUGGGAGCAUGGGGUUAACCUCCCAGCAUGCAACUGUCUCCGUCCCAUAAUGUCACUUAUAUCCCAUACUUUUCAGACCUUUUUUAAAAAUCCCACAAACCCACGUAGCCAUCCUCACUAUCAGUCAUCUCUGACAGUUGCAUGGAGCUCUCCACUAUUGUCAUAAGCAUUACAAGCAUAGGACACGCAUUCCUCCAGUAUUGGCAGAGCUGUAAGAAGAACUGAAUGAGCAGGGAACAUGAUGAGUUAUUGGAGGACAAAUUGCUGAGGGACAUAGAAAGAAACAAUUCAAGGUUGUUGAUGGCAUUCACAGAGCAGCUGCUGAUGGUGGAGCACUGCAUGGGAUUGCAUCAUAAUACAGGCUUGGGAUGAGGAGCAUUGGCUGUAGAACUUUCAAAUGUACAAGGUCCCAUUUCUGGAUGUGUGUGCCGAGCGCGCCCCAGACCUCCAGUGCAGGGACACCAAAAUGAGAGUUGCACUGGCAGUAGAGAAGCUAGUGGCAAUUGCACUGUGGAAACUCGCAGAGCCGGAUUGCUACCAAUCAUUGGGAAGUCAUUUUGGAGAUGGAAAAUCCACUGUGGAGUCUGUUGUCAUGCAAGUGUGCAGGGCCAUUAAUCAUCUCCUGCUAUGCAGGACUGUGACACUCAGCACUGUGCAGGACAUAGUGGAUGGAUUUUCAGCAGUGGGGUUCCCAAACUGCGGUGGAGCAACACAUCCCUAUUUUGGUGCCAGACCACCUUGCCACAGAGUAUAUCAAUAGAAACGGCUACUUUUUUAUGGUUAUGCAAGCAUUGGUGGAUUGCUGGGGAUGCUUCACUGACAUCAGUUUUGGCUGGUCAGGGAAGGUCAAUGAUGCUUGCAUCUUUAAGAACACAGGACUGUUCAGAAAGCUACAGAGACUUUCUUGCCCAACUGGCAAAUUAGCUAUGGUGAUGUUGAAUUGCUAGCAGUGAUCCUGGCGGACCCAGCCUACCCCUUGCUCAUGAAGCUGUAAACCAACCACCUCAAUAGCACCAAGGAAAGAGUCAACUACCAGCUCAGGAGGUGCAGAAUGACAGUUGAAUGUGCUUUUGGUGGAUUGGAGGGACACUGAUGUUGUUUACUGACAAGAAUGGAUCUCAGUUAAAAAAAAAAUCCCAAUGGUUAUAGCUUCCUGCUGUGUCCUGCAUAUUUGUGAAGCAAAGGGGAAAAAGUUGCCACCAGGGUGGAUGGUUGAGGUAGAGCGGCUCACUGCUGAGUUUGAACAGCCAGACACAAGGGCUAUUAGAAAAGCUCAACUCAGAUCUAUACGGCUCAGCGAGGCUUUGAAAGAGCUCUUUAAUGGCUGUUUGCAGUGUUCACCCUCCAGGCACUAUGCUCAAGUCUGAUGCAGCACCAGCUUGCAGGAUCGCACUGAACAUGUCAUCCUGAGUCGUCAUCUUUUUUCUCCUUAUCUGACUCCCCUUCCCACAGGUGUGGAAUGGGAACCCCUUAAGGCCGCAACAGCAGCAGCUGCAGAUAAAACACACAGAGAAACUUCUCUUUUGGGGCAAGAGGAACUUGUUUAAUACUAACUACAAUAAUUUAUCCAAGUUAAAAGGGACUGUUUGGGUACUAGCAGGACACCAGAACAUUCUUGGAAAAGUUUGAAUUUCAGAGUAGUGUCCCAACUGAUCCAGGUGUCUCUCAAAGGCCAGAAGAGCUAUCAGGAUCUUGUCAAGG